UACAGUCCACAUGUCACCCUGAACAAGCCCGAUCCUGUCUGAUCUCGGCUGCUAAGCAGGGUCGGGCCUGGUUAGUACUUGGAUGGGCAACCACCUACGAAGACCAGGUGCUGUAG
rnacentral:rRNA from 1 species